rnacentral:rRNA from 1 species
AAUCAACGCUGGCGGCGUGCCUCAGACAUGCAAGUCGAACGAUUAAAGCUCUCUUCGGAGAGUGUAUAGAGUGGCGCACGGGUGAGUAACACGUAAGUAAUCUACCUUCGAGUGGGGAAUAACGUCCGGAAACGGACGCUAAUACCGCAUAAUGCAGCGGCAUCGCAAGAUGACAGUUGUUAAAGAUUUAUCGCUUGAAGAGGAGCUUGCGGCAGAUUAGCUAGUUGGUAAGGUAACGGCUUACCAAGGCUACGAUCUGUAUCCGGUCUAAGAGGACGGUCGGACACACUGACACUGAAUAACGGGUCAGACUCCUACGGGAGGCAGCAGUCGGGAAUUUUGGGCAAUGGGCGAAAGCCUGGCCCAGCAACGCCGCGUGAAGGAUGAAGUAUUUCGGUAUGUAAACUUCGAAAGAAUAGGAAGAAUUAAUGACGGUACUAUUUAUAAGGUCCGGCUAACUACGUGCCAGCCGCCG